UAGAUGGAUGCUCGCUGGUUAGGCAACUUAGCUGUUAACUAAGAGUUGUAGGAUCGAGGCCUUCCCAUCUAG
rnacentral:tRNA from 1 species